ACGCUCGACACCUACGGGAGACAGCAGUCGGGAAUAUUGCGCAAUGGAGGAAACUCUGACGCAGUGACGCCGCGUAUGGGAAGAAGGUUUUCGGAUUGUAAACCAUUUUAGACAAGGAAGAAACAAGACAGUACUUGUAGAAUAAGCUCCGGCUAACUACGUGCCAGCAGCAGCGGUAAUCUGAGCGGGCUGGCAAGGC
rnacentral:rRNA from 1 species